rnacentral:lncRNA from 1 species
UUUUUUAUAGGUGGCUCGGAUGUCGCCCCUCAGGAGUUUAGUCCUUAUUUCUCUAAGUGUGUUUGUUAGAGGUAAUUCGAGUGUUCCUAAUUGUCUCCUCCAACAAUACGGUUGUACCAAUAUAAUUGAUUGCACAUGAAAUAUUCCCUUUUAAUAUGUACAUAAUAUGGUUAGAAGGGUGGAUAAGUUAGUGGGUGGGGAGAAGAGAGAGGGACUUUAAAAGAACACCUGGCACACAUAAGAUAUUUGAACUUUAAUGGUCUAUUGAUUCCCUUAACCAUCUAAGGACCUGUUUGUUUGGAAUAUAAUCUGCCUGAGUUAUAUAUAAUACAAUUAGAUUAUGUAAUCUGAUUAUGUUAUAAUCUUAAAUAAGCAUGACUUAAAUCUUGUUUUUAAUGUAAAACUGCCAAAUCGGCUUAACAAGAUAGGGGAAAGCAGGAGCCGGGGGCAAGCCAUCGAUGCCGACUUGCCGAGCCUAGGAACAACAUAAAAAAAACGUAACAUUCACGGAUCAGUCCCGUCAAAUUAGAACGCCAGAAUUUUGGUUCUAUAACUGCUAUGCGUCACACGCUCGCUAACAUUGAUGUGGUUACUGACAUCGCAAUAUAGGCUAAAUAUUUAGAGAAAAUAUAUUACCUUGACAGCUUCAUCACAAAUGUUUAGAGCAAGGUCAUAUGACAAGGAGCAAGCAUUACAGGUCCGUGAACACAUUUAUUCCCUCUUGUGCCAACAGAAACAGUCCGCAGGACUUGAGAUACCAAACAUAGACAAAUAAGCAGACAGCUUGCCUUGUCUUCCCCCUAUUAUGAUGCUCCGGGACACAAACUCGUAGGAAAGCUAUUUCUUGCCACGCAACUUGGUUCCCAGGGCCCUCUCGAGCUUGCUAAUGAUCUGCUGGUUGGGGAUUGCCUUGCCUGAUUCAUACUCCUGAAUCACCUGUGGCUUCUCAUUUAUCAUCUACAAUAAACACCACAUCCUCAUCUGAUUAAUAGGCCAAACAAGGAUCAAGCUACUUCUCAGCUAUGGUUGAAGUUCUGAAACCCAAUGAUACCACCAAGUACCUGAGCAAGUUGUGCCUGUGUCAGCUUCUUAUCGAGCCUUGCUUGCAUGAGAUUCUUCUUCAGAUCACUUGGAACUCGCUCAUCUAGCAUUAAGCGAGAAGAGGCCGAGUUAGUUAUUAUUAUCAUGAAAAGGAUAUGACUGAAAUCAAAUUACUUCCUCCACAGGUUCAAUAGUCCCAUCAUUUUGAAAUCCUUAAAGAGAAAAACCAAACUUAAUCUAUAGUAAUUUUUCAUAUCCUUGUGACUGAAAUGAGACCACAGCCAUUAGGCUAUGCGCAGCGAAUCCCGCCAGGCGCCCCCUCCCCUUGGUUUAGGGUGUGUAGAGCAACCCUACAGGCUACAGCGCUCACCGCUACAACUGCUACAGUGCAAGCGUGAUGCACAGUGACCCGCCAGAUUCAGGGUAACGCCAGCCGCUCCUCUUGAGUGGUUUUGUAUACACGUGAGUAUUUAUUAGAUAGAGAAAAUUUGAUAGUAGAUAAAAAGUAGGUAUAAGAAAUGAUAUUUUAUGGUUGUAGUGGAAUAUAGGGGGAGAAUAUAGGGAGAACCGCUGCGGGAGAUAAAAAAAGUAGGGGAUGAAAUGUUGAUGAUGUGACGUAAAAAGUGGUAUAGGGGGAAAAAUUUAGAGGAAACCGCUGCGGAUAGUCUUAGCAUUGGACUACAUGGUACAGUCAUAACAAUGUGACCAUCAAAUUGUUGUGCCUUGCCCUGGACACCAGCAUCAUAGAUAAAAGCAGAAGCAAAACCAUUGCGAAGCAAGCACCUAGACCAAGAGUAAAUGAGAUUAGAGACUUAAGAAGGUCCUAGUCUUGAGUGAACCUCAGACACACUUGACUGUUGAGUGUUGACAUUAGGAAUAACGGGCAAAGGACCAUGGUUCAGCAGUACCCUUUUUACUUGCCAUGCAUACCAUGUCCAAAAAAAUGACACUGGGUACAAUGAGCGCAAAUGUGGCAUGCUUUUGAUCUGCUGUAUGAAUUUCAGUUACAAUAAUAUUCCAUAUGCAUAGGAAUCAUGCUAUGCAGGUUGCAGAGGACAAACUGACUUCACAUCAAACUCGUAUCCAGUAAUUGUCACAAAAUUAUCAUGUGCACUAACAAGCCACAAAGAGUCACACUCAGACAAGAUGCUUAUACAACAAAUAUAUUGCCAUUGAAGCCUCAAUGAACUCACCAAGACACUUAUGGUGUGUUUGGUUUGUGAGUCAACUUAUGUUUCAUAAGGUGAUGCAUCAUGAGCUCAUCCCAUAAAUUUUGGUGAGUCAACCUAUGCUUCAUAAGGUGAUGCAUCAUGAGCUCAUCCCAUAAAUUUUGGUGGAAUCAACCCAUUCCUCAUGCAUAUACUAAUUAUAUACCUUAUGAAGAAUGAGGUGGUGAUGGAUCAACUCAUUCUAUUCCACAAACCAAACAAAAAAAGUGAGGAGUGAGAAGAUGGACCACCUCAUUCCUCAAACCAAACACCCCAUUAUUGAAGGCAUGUUCACUUAGUAAUUCAUUUUCAGUAGAAACUCAACAACUAACAUAAACACAUAGUAUAUUAUAUAAUGGCGUGCAAAUAGCUCAUUUGUCGAAAGUAUAAAAUCUUAUGAAGAUUGAUUGAUGCAACAAGCAAAAUUGUUAAAAACACAAAUACAGCAAUACUUCAAAACUCACUCCUCUAAGAGCAACUCCAAGAGAUUAGCUAAAAAGACUAGCCAAAUUUACUAAUUUAGCUACUAUCUAAAAUAGAUUUUACAGAAAAAGUGUAGGCUAAUCCAACAGAUUUGGUAAACCUACGAACUGAAUAGAAAGUGAAGCAGGCUAUCCAAAAAUGGAGGGCGAAGGUGGAUGGAUAGAGAGCCACUAAAUUUGAAGAGUUGUUUACAGAGCCUAUUGGAUACACUUUUCUACUAAUAUUAGCUAAAUUUACCUUUACAAAACCAUAUACCUAACCUCUUGGAGUUGCUCUAUAUUAAUGUCAUCAGAAAAAUAUAACAUAUGCACAGACUGCGUACGAACAAAUGGCCUACCAAGAAAACAUCAUUUUAUGAAACAUCCAUGCUUUGCCAUAACUUAAUGUAAUAACCAAAAACAAAGAAACAAUGGAUGGAUGCACGACGACAAUGCUUUCCCAUCUUAAUCUUAAGAAGAGAAACUUUGGCCAGUGCUGCUAAUAAAGUGUAUAUGUUAAGAGAAAAAUAUAAACUGCAAGGCAUGUGAACAUGAACAUUAUCUCCUAAAUAAUUUUAUCACAUCCACCUUUACAAGUGCCCAAAUUUAUGUAUUCGGAUCCUAAGCAAACAAGCAUCGAUGUAAUUGUUAUGAGAAAUGGUACGAGACAGCUGAUUGCUCACGGGCGAGGUUUUCGGUGUCGUCGUCGAGGCGCU